rnacentral:rRNA from 1 species
UGGGGAAUUUUGCACAAUGGGGGAAACCCUGAUGCAGCGACGCCGCAUGAUUUAGAAGGCCUUCGGGUUGUAAAAAUCUUUUCUAUGGGAAGAAAAUGACAGUACCAUAGGAAUAAGGACCGGCUAAUUACGUGCCAGCAGCCGCGGUAAUACGUAAGGUCCGAGCGUUGUCCGGAAUCAUUGGGCGUAAAGGGUACGUAGGCGGGUAAGCAAGUUAGAAGUGAAAUCCUAUAGCUCAACUAUAGUAAGCUUUUAAAACUGCUCAUCUUGAGGUAUGGAAGGGAAAGUGGAAUUCCUAGUGUAGCGGUGAAAUGCGCAGAUAUUAGGAGGAAUACCGGUGGCGAAGGCGACUUUCUGGCCAUAACCUGACGCUGAGGUACGAAAGCGUGGGUAGCAAACAGG